rnacentral:tRNA from 1 species
GGAGGUGUCGCCUAGUGGCCUAUGGCGCCCGCCUGCUAAGCGGGUUGAGGGCUAAACCCUCUCGCGGGUUCAAAUCCCGCCACCUCCG